rnacentral:lncRNA from 7 species
UUAGUUUGAGUGAGGUGGGGGAAGAGGGUAUGUCAUUUAUGAAUGUUUUCUGGUAGUGAAAGGCAGGUCCUGGAGAAUGGCAUCCUACCUUAAGAGCAUGAAUCAUUUAUCAUGGAUUUCUAUGUGGUCUGAACUUCUUCUAGGCAUCCUACUUUUUAGAAUGGUGCCAUUUUAAGUUCUGUUGUCUUCCUGUUAUGCUCUUAUUCUUUCAGAACAUCUUUAUACAGCUUUCCAAAAGGAGCACUGUGAAUGUGUGACUUGCUUGAUAGGCAAGACUGUAAAUAUCUGAGAUAUGCCUAUGUUUUACCUUCCAUUGUUGUUUCUGUACAGCCAACACGUGCCUGUUGUGGUCUUUAGGUGGUAGUAACUCCAUGGUAUUAGGUUGUGUCAAGGUCUUUGCUCUUUGCUUAGGCUCAGGGAAGUGAUUUAUGUUAGAACCAGUAAGGUAUUACCCAGAUGUCACCAUGGUUUAUACCUAUCUGUUGGCAUAUGCUAGUCCUCACUCAUGGUACUUCAUGAUUCUUUAUGGAGCUCCUGGCUUGGAAGUAGCUGAGUCUAAUUUCCAGAUCUGAGCAACACUGAAGUGGUUGGAAGACUUUGCCUGUAGCACUUGUUUCCCUCACAAAUAAGAAAGCAGGAUCACUUCAGCCCAAAGCAACCCUCUGCCCAGAAACUACAUACAUCAAAACCGGAAGUAUUCCAUGUUUUCAUGCUAGUGGUAACCUCAUUAGCUGGUCACUAAUAUCUGUGUUUGGUAACUUUGACUACACUUGCUCUUAACUAUGGUGUGUUUAUUUUUGAAAUACUGUUUGAAGACUCUUAAAAAAAAAAAACACCUUGCAUUUAUUGUGUCUGAAAAGAAUGAAAGACUUUAAGUAGAAGUUUGCCCUUUUUACUACUGAAGAUGUGGCUCAGGGGAAUCAAGGCUGAUAAAGUCACUUAGAAAAGCCUAAGACUAAAAAUGGCUCUUGCUUCUGGGCCUCGUACCUCUUCCUCAACAUUACUCAUUGCAUUUCCUUUCAUGGAAGACAUUCAACAGGGUUCUGCCUUCUGCCAUUGCUGUACAUGGCCACCUCACCUGCCUUCAUGCUAUCAGUUUCUAUUUCUUCCCUGUCUUUCCUUGUUUGCUGUACAGUCUUGCAGCCAAAAUAGAGUUGUGCAACCUAUUAAACAAAUGCAAACAC